rnacentral:rRNA from 1 species
AAAUUUUCUUAAGGAACUCGGCAAAAUCCCAAUGGCCCACCAGGGCAUAUUGGAACACGGGCCUCGACUGUUUACCAAAAACAUAGCCCUCGGCCAAUAUGAAAAUAGAUGUAUAGAGGGUGAUGCCUGCCCAAUGGUUGUAUCUAAAAGCGGUUGAUAAAAGUCGACCUCGUAAGGACAAUUGAAUGGCCGCGGUAACACUGACCGUGAUAAUGUAGCGUAAUCAAUAGCCAAUUAAUUGUUGGCCAGUAUGAAUGGCGCCACGAAGGCCCCACUGUCUUAAGGAAAUUCCCAGUGAAAUUGAAUUCGUAGUGAAGAUGCUACGUCCAAUUUGUUAGACGAAAAGACCCCGUUGAGCUUUACUGGGGCACUUACACGGCCCCGGCCUUCCCGUGCCCGGGAACCGGCCGAAUUUAAAUGGGUGGUUUAGACUAUGUGGCAGCCCCCCGCCGGGGCAGAUGAAACCCCACUCCCCCAUGUCAAAGGGGCUAACCCCCCCCUUGGGGGGGACAGUGUAAGUAGGACAGUUUGGUUGGGGCGACCGCCUUUUAAAGAGUAACGAAGGUGCGCUUAAGGUGCGCAAUUAAUGACUGAAGCCUGACUGCGAGGGGGACACCCCGAGCAGACACCCCCAAGCCCGCCCGAAGGGCGGCGGUGGGGUGGGCCAUAGUGACCCGUUAAUUUAGAGUGGAAUAGUUAACGAUCAACGAAUAAAAGUUACCACGGGG